rnacentral:rRNA from 1 species
UACGUAGGGCGCAAGCGUUGUCCGGAAUUAUUGGGCGUAAAGAGCUCGUAGGCGGCCAACUAAGUCGGACGUGAAAUCCCUCGGCUUAACCGGGGAACUGCGUCCGAUACUGGAUGGCUGGAGGUUGGGAGAGGGAUGCGGAAUUCCAGGUGUAGCGGUGAAAUGCGCAGAUAUCAGGAGGAACACCGGUGGCGAAGGCGGGUCUCUGGGCCGAUACUGACGCUGAGGAGCGAAAGCGUGGGGAGCGAACAGG